rnacentral:misc_RNA from 1 species
UAAUAAGUGUUUUAUGGCACUUUUUAAAUCCAUAUCCACCUUGUGUGCAAUGUCAGUCGAUCUUCUUCAUGGAGAUCGACCAAACAUCAACCUUUAUCUUUUAACUCUUUGUCUGAAAGAUAUUAUGAAUAAACUAAUUCAAAAUA